UACAGAGGGGGCAAGCGUUGUUCGGAAUUACUGGGCGUAAAGGGCGCGUAGGCGCCUUCUAAGUCGAACGUGAAAUCCCCGGGCUCAACCCGGGAACUGCGUCCGAUACUGGAAGGCUUGAAUCCGGGAGAGGGAUGCGGAAUUCCAGGUGUAGCGGUGGAAUUCGUAGAUAUUAGGAAGAACACCAGUGGCGAAGGCGGCUCACUGGUCCGGUACUGACGCUGAGGUGCGAAAGCGUGGGGAGCAAACAGG
rnacentral:rRNA from 1 species